rnacentral:rRNA from 1 species
UACGUAGGGUGCGAGCGUUGUCCGGAAUUAUUGGGCGUAAAGAGCUCGUAGGCGGUCUGUCGCGUCGGUACGUGGAAAACUUGGGGCUUAACCCUGAGCUUGCGGUCGAUACGGGCAUGACUGGAGUUCGGUAGGGGAGACUGGAAUUCCUGGUGUAGCGGUGAAAUGCGCAGAUAUCAGGAGGAACACCAAUGGCGAAGGCAGCUCGCUGGGACGGUACUGACGCUGAGACGCGAAAGCGUGGGGAGCAAACAGG